UGGACGUACACGCCAAUUGGUAGCAUAGAAAUUGAAACUCGAAAUGGGUGGAUUGUCAGUUACCAUUUUUUUUCCAUCUUGAAGAUUUCAUUCAUCUCAAUGCAUGUUAUCUUUUUCUCUUCGUAGGACAUGUUUUCGAGGGGGCAAAACCCAAAGGCAGGGGAGCUCCGAAGAAAGCUCCUGUUAGAAAGCAGAAAAUGCCGACUGCCGUUGAUAGUGAAGAGGAAGAUGAUGAGGUGCUCGAGCUGAAAGAAUGAAUAAUUGUGUUGAGAUCAGGGCUGAAGUUGGAAAUGAAUGAUUGUGUUUGAUUGAAUGAAUGAAUGAUUGUGUUUGAUUGAAUGAAUAAAUGAUUGUGGUUGAUUGAAUGAAUGAAUGAUUUAGCUAUGAAGUAUUUAUCUAUAUCAGCUUAUAUGAGUUAUCAGGGUGUACUACAAUGGUAAGCGUUGUCAUUACUAUUUAAAUUUUUUAUUAACAAUAGGCAUUAGCUACAGCUAUUAACCGUAGCCCUUUAUUGAAAACUGUAGCUCUUGCUAA